rnacentral:rRNA from 1 species
GAGUUUGAUCAUGGCUCAGAACGAACGCUGGCGGCAGGCUUAACACAUGCAAGUCGAACGCUCGUAGCAAUACGGGAGUGGCGGACGGGUGAGUAACGCGUGGGAACGUGCCCUGAGGUUGGGAAUAACUGCGGGAAACUGCAGCUAAUACCUGAUGAGCCCCUAACGGGGGAAAGAUUUAUCGCCUUGGGAGCGGCCCGCGUCGGAUUAGCUAGUUGGUGGGGUAACGGCCUACCAAGGCUCCGAUCCAUAGCUGGUCUGAGAGGAUGAUCAGCCACACUGGGACUGAGACACGGCCCAGACUCCUACGGGAGGCAGCAGUGGGGAAUAUUGGUCAAUGGGCGCAAGCCUGAACCAGCCAUGCCGCGUGAGUGAUGAAGGCCUUAGGGUUGUAAAGCUCCUUCAGUGGGGAAGAUAAUGACGGUACCCACAGAAGAAGCCCCGGCUAACUUCGUGCCAGCAGCCGCCGUAAG